ACUCCUACGGGAGGCAGCAGUAGGGAAUCUUCCACAAUGGGCGCAAGCCUGAUGGAGCAACACCGCGUGAGUGAAGAAGGGUUUCGGCUCGUAAAGCUCUGUUGUUAAAGAAGAACACGUAUGAGAGUAACUGUUCAUACGUUGACGGUAUUUAACCAGAAAGUCACGGCUAACUACGUGCCAGCAGCCGCGGUAAUACGUAGGUGGCAAGCGUUAUCCGGAUUUAUUGGGCGUAAAGAGAGUGCAGGCGGUUUUCUAAGUCUGAUGUGAAAGCCUUCGGCUUAACCGGAGAAGUGCAUCGGAAACUGGAUAACUUGAGUGCAGAAGAGGGUAGUGGAACUCCAGUGUGUACGGUCGGUAAGUAGUC
rnacentral:rRNA from 1 species